UACGUAGGGGGCAAGCGUUGUCCGGAAUCAUUGGGCGUAAAGCGCGCGUAGGCGGUUCUGUAAGUCUGCUGUGAAAGUCCAGGGCUCAACCCUGGGAUGCGGGUGGAUACUGCAGGGCUAGAGUACGGAAGAGGCGAGUGGAAUUCCCGGUGUAGCGGUGAAAUGCGCAGAUAUCGGGAGGAACACCUAUUGCGAAGGCAGCUCGCUGGGACGUUACUGGCGCUGAGACGCGAAAGCGUGGGGAGCAAACAGG
rnacentral:rRNA from 1 species